UACGUAGGCAGCGAGCGUUGUUCGGAGUUACUGGGCGUAAAGGGUGUGUAGGCGGUUGUUUAAGUUUGGGGUGAAAUCUCCCGGCUCAACUGGGAGGGUGCGCCGAAUACUGAAUGACUUGGAGUGCGGGAGAGGAAAGUGGAAUUCCUGGUGUAGCGGUGAAAUGCGUAGAUAUCAGGAGGAACACCGGUGGUGUAGACGGCUUUCUGGACCGUAACUGACGCUGAGACACGAAAGCGUGGGUAGCAAACAGG
rnacentral:rRNA from 1 species